UCUCGGCUAGCUCAGUUGGUAGAGCAUGGGGCUCUUAAUCCCAGGGUCAUGGGUUCAUGUCCCAUGUUGGGCA
rnacentral:tRNA from 1 species